UGGGUAACCGUGCCUUAUACAGGGGGAGUAACAGUCAGAAAUGGCUGCUAAUACCGCAUAAGCGCACAGAGCUGCAUGGCUCAGUGUGAGAAACUCCGGUGGUAUAAGAUGGACCCGCGUUGGAUUAGCUUGUUGGCAGGGUAACGGCCUACCAAGGCGACGAUCCAUAGCCGGCCUGAGAGGGUGAACGGCCACAUUGGGACUGAGACACGGCCCAGACUCCUACGGGAGGCAGCAUG
rnacentral:rRNA from 1 species